CCUUUGUGGUAUUCUGAUUUAGUAAUGUAAUUAUAUUAGUUUUGUUACCACCCCACGCCACUAGAGGCAGUAUCAGGCCCGAAAAGAUGCGACUAAGGAGCCGAUUUAGAAGUUCACAGAAAGCUACAGAACUUAUUAGAAACUGUGAGCUGAGCUGAAGAAAAUAAAAGACAGAAGUUCAAAUACA